AUACGGAGGAUCCGAGCGUUAUCCGGAUUUAUUGGGUUUAAAGGGUGCUCAGGCGGGCGAUUAAGUCGGCGGUGAAAUUUUGCGGCUCAACCGUAAAAGUGCCUUCGAAACUGGUCGCCUUGAGUGUGGAUGAGGUAGGCGGAAUUUGUGGUGUAGCGGUGAAAUGCAUAGAUAUCACGAGGAACUCCGAUCGCGCAGGCAGCUUACCAGGCCAUAACUGACGCUCAAGCACGAAGGCGUGGGGAUCAAACAGGAUUAGAUACCCUGGUAGUCCACGCAGUAAACGAUGAUUACUGGCUGUUUGCGAUACAAUGUAAGCGGCUGAGCGAAAGCGUUAAGUAAUCCACCUGGGGAGUACGUUCGCAAGAAUGAAACUCAAAGGAAUUGACGGGG
rnacentral:rRNA from 1 species